UUCCGGUUGAUCCUGCCGGACCUGACUGCUAUCGGAUUGAUACUAAGCCAUGCGAGUCAUUGUAGCAAUACAAGGCAUACGGCUCAGUAACGCGUAGUCAACCUAACCUAUGGACGGGAAUAACCUCGGGAAACUGAGAAUAAUGCCCGAUAGAACAUUAUACCUGGAAUGGUUUAUGUUCCAAAUGAUUUAUCGCCGUAGGAUGGGACUGCGGCCUAUCAGUUUGUUGGUGAGGUAAUGGCCCACCAAGACUAUUACAGGUACGGGCUCUGAGAGGAGUAGCCCGGAGAUGGGUACUGAGACACGGACCCAGGCCCUAUGGGGCGCAGCAGGCGAGAAAACUUUGCAAUGUGCGAGAGCACGACAAGGUUAAUCCGAGUGAUUUCUGCUAAAGAGAUCUUUUGUUAGUCCUAGAACCACUAACGAAUAAGGGGUGGGCAAGUUCUGGUGUCAGCCGCCGCGGUAAAACCAGCACCUCAAGUGGUCAGGAUGAUUAUUGGGCCUAAAGCAUCCGUAGCCGGCUCUGUAAGUUUUCGGUUAAAUCUGUACGCUUAACGUACAGGCUGCCGGGAAUACUGCAGAGCUAGGGAGUGGGAGAGGUAGACGGUACUCGAUAGGAAGUGGUAAAAUGCUUUGAUCUAUCGAUGACCACCUGUGGCGAAGGCGGUCUACCAGAACACGUCCGACGGUGAGGGAUGAAAGCUGGGGGAGCAAACCGGAUUAGAUACCCGGGUAGUCCCAGCUGUAAACUAUGCAAACUCAGUGAUGCAUUGGCUUGUGGCCAAUGCAGUGCUGCAGGGAAGCCGUUAAGUUUGCCGCCUGGGAAGUACGUACGCAAGUAUGAAACUUAAAGGAAUUGGCGGGGGAGCACCACAAGGGGUGAAGCCUGCGGUUCA
rnacentral:rRNA from 1 species